rnacentral:rRNA from 1 species
CUUGGUGGUUUUAGCGAGUGGGGUACACCUGUUCCCAUCCCGAACACAGUAGUUAAGCCACUCAGCGCCGAUGGUACUGCAACAUCAGUUGUGGGAGAGUAGGUCGCCGCCAAGA